UUUUUAUAUAAAUAUUUUGUGCGUAAAAAACAUGUAAAUACUGAUUAAUUUGUUGUUGAACUGCUUCUUGUCUCCAGUGCAAUUAAAGAAUUUUUAGAUAGAAGACAAUAUAGUUCUCAUUUCAAUUGCACACAUUUUUAUGGAAUCAUGCUAUAAUCAAUUUUUGACAUGAUUAUUUUUUUCAGCCUUGUUCUGGGAAAACUGGGCUUAAUGAAUCUGCAUAAAGCAUGGCCACAUAUAGGUCUGUGCAAUCUGCAUAAAGCAUGGCCACAUAUAGGUCUGUGCAAUCUGCAUAAAGCAUGGCCACAUAUAGGUCUGUGCAAUCUGCAUAAAGCAUGGCCACAUAUAGGCCUGUGCAAUCUGCAUAAAGCAUGGCCACAUAUAGGCCUGUGCAAUCUGCAUAAAGCAUGGCCACAUAUAGGCCUGUGCAAUCUGCAUAAAGCAUGGCCACAUAGAGGCCUGUGCAAUCUGCACAGGCUUAUCUGGCCAACACAUUUUACCUUAACUGCAUUUUUGCUUAGAAGAGAAUUCCUUUAACCUCAAAUUGCCAAAUGUUGUCCCUGGUAAGCCAGUGCACAAUCCACAUGCUGAUCUGGGACGACACAUUAUGCACAUUCAUUUAGACCAGUUUUUUCCGGAACAGAGCUCAUCUAUUGGUCAAAACACCACUCUGUUGUUUUGUGGUGUGGCUUGUCACUCAAGUUCAUUUAAAAAAAGAUGGAACAUGGGCAAAACGCCUUUGACCAUUUAUACACUUAUAAACAAAGUAAAGUAAAAGUAUCAUUGUAUAAUACAGAAACAAUCAUGUUAAUAAACACAAACUACAAUCAAAAGUGUUCAAACAUCAUGUAAAAACAUGUAUUUACAUCUAUUAACAACAGUUUUAUUCGAGCUUACAGGUAAUUGAUAGACAAUAUUUUUGGGGUUUCAUAAAUAUUUAUUUAAGCAGCAUAUACUUGUAAUUUGCAUGACAUCAUUAAUGAAUCUGGCAAAAUUGUUCAUGAAAUAAAUUUUCUGACAAUAGAUAAUGUUAAUAAUUGCAUAAAAGUUGUCCAGUUUGAUCGAAUACACUAUUUUCUUUGUAGAUCUUUAUAGAUUUGGCAAGUUAGAAAGAAGUGUUAUUAAGAUUUAACAGUGUUUUACUUUCAUAUUUACAUUUACGUUCUCUUUUAUGUUAUAUCUACCAGUAUCUAUUUUCAAUUUAUGGGUCUAAAUCUUGAUAAAAUAAGUGGGACUUAAAUAAUGUCCUCAAGAUUUCACCUAUGCAUCAGAACUACCUGUAUUCAGAAUUUUUGAAUAAUGGAAGUUAUAGCUUGCUGAGUUAUGCUGUUGUAUUGCAACUUUUGAACUAUACUCUUAUGAAUGAUCAUAGUUUCUUAUUGCCUUGAGGUAAAUGAAGGUUAACCCUUUGCAUGCUGGGAAAUUUGUCAUCUGCUAAAAUGUCGUCUGCAAAUUUCUAAAAUUAGCAUUUUCUUCGAUUUUUUUCAAAGAAUACUAUCAGAAUAGCAAACAGUUUAGAUCCUGAUGAGACGCCACGUUCUGUGGCGUCUCAUCUGGAUCCAAACUGUUUGCAAAGGCCUUUAAAAUUCAGCUCCAGCGCUUUAAGGGUUAAAUAUGUGAACCUGUCAGUAAAUAAAUAUUUCAUCAUAAUGUUUGCAAUAUUGUUAUUACUAAGCAUUUACACACGUUCACAUGUGAUGUUUUGUUGGAAAAUGUAUGUAUGCAAGACAUGCAGUGGUUUUUAAUGUUAUUUAUGUUUCUGGGAUGAACACAUGUAGUGAUGUGAAACUAUUUAUUGAUGUUUAUAAAUCAAUAGUUUUAGUUGUAUACAGUUGUAUAUGAACAUUCUAAAUGUGAAACUAUUUAUUGAUGUUUAUAAAUCAAUAGUUUUAGUUGUAUACAGUUGUAUAUGAACAUUCUAAAUGUUUUAUUUAUGCACAUUUAAUGCUGUAUGUCACUUUUACCAAUUAUUUAACCAUUUUUAAAAUACAUUAUGCCUAUUUAUGUAAGCCAUAAUGUUUUCUAUAACUAACAAGAAAAGUCAGUUUGUCACACAGAUUUAUAUGCCCUGUCUAGUAAUGGUGAGUGCUGCAAUUUUUUUGUACUUUGGUGCAGUAAAUUAUGCAACAAAAGGCUAAUUUAUUCCAUGUUCUUUUAUAUUAAAUAACACCUGGAGUGUUUGAUGUAUGACUAUGUUCGCUUCAAAUUAAAUCCAGAAUAAUAUUUAUCUUUAGUAUUUUGCCUUUUACAAGUGUUAAAUGCACAGCAAUUUAUUUCAUGUUAUAUUUAAUUGAAACAUUGAUAAUAAAUAUACGCAUUGUUUUAUUAAUUUAAAUAGCACAAAAAAGGUAUCUGGACCUGCUUUAAAAGGCCAUGGGAGACAGCCGGACAACUUUUUCUAAAAAAAUGACAUUAGAAAUACAAAUAAUAUUUUAUUACAUUAUAAUGCUCCCACCUAAGGAAUAUUGCUUGUAACUUUUACGAGUAAAAACGGUUAUUU